GCGGAGGUAGCGAAGUGGUCAAACGCGGCAGCCUCAAGAGCUGCUCUCUUAGUGAGUUCGCAGGUUCGAAUCCUGUCCUCCGCA
rnacentral:tRNA from 1 species